rnacentral:rRNA from 1 species
UACGUAGGGUGCAAGCGUUAAUCGGAAUUACUGGGCGUAAAGCGUGCGCAGGCGGCUUUGCAAGACAGAUGUGAAAUCCCCGGGCUCAACCUGGGAACUGCAUUUGUGACUGCAUGGCUAGAGUACGGUAGAGGGGGAUGGAAUUCCGCGUGUAGCAGUGAAAUGCGUAGAUAUGCGGAGGAACACCGAUGGCGAAGGCAAUCCCCCUGGACCUGUACUGACGCUCAUGCACGAAAGCGUGGGGAGCAAACGAGG